rnacentral:rRNA from 1 species
UACGUAGGGGGCAAGCGUUGUCCGGAUUUAUUGGGCGUAAAGAGCGUGUAGGCGGCCAUUCAGGUCAGCUGUGAAACUCGAGGCUCAACCUCGAGACGUCGGUUGAAACCGUAUGGCUAGAGUCCGGAAGAGGAGAGUGGAAUUCCCGGUGUAGCGGUGAAAUGCGCAGAUAUCGGGAAGAACACCCGUGGCGAAGGCGGCUCUCUGGGACGGUACUGACGCUGAGACGCGAAAGCGUGGGGAGCGAACAGG